GUUGGUUCUCUCUCAUGAGCCCCCUCACCAUGUGAUGUCCCAAGCUGCCUUGGGACUCUGCAGAGGGUCCCCAUAAGAGGAAGGCCCCGACUAGAUGGAAUCCUUUGUCCCUGGACUUCUCAGCCUCCAGAACUGAUUCCCCAGGAUCAACCAUCUGAGCAGAUACCUUGGAAUGUCCCCAGAUUUCAGAGCCUCGGACCAGCAGCAACACACUCUGAAGUAGGUCUCAGAAGACAAAAAGCUGAAAUCAACUCAUGCUUCCUGCUACACAGAAUCCACUGAGAGGAAAAGGAAACUUCACCGAAACUUCAGAAAGCUACAGAAAUGACAUCCAUUUUCACAAUCCCAGAAGGAAAGAUGCAUCUGAAGGGAAUAAAAACAGAGCAAUGGAAGAGUAUUUGUUAAAAUAAAUGGCUUUGACAGGGCAUUUUCUCUAAAGGUCUCCUUUGCCUCAAAUAGUACUCCUGCCUUCAGUCCAUCUUGCAUGCCACCCAGCUGUGGGCAUCCUGGCAGUUGCUGCCAUGUCCUUGCCUAAAAGCCUCCACCCCCAACCAACCCACC
rnacentral:lncRNA from 10 species